GGAGAGCCAGAUCUGAGGCCGGAGGGCCGACGCAGCCUGCGCAUGGGGGCUGUGUUCCCCAGAGCACCCACUGCCAACACAGCCUCUACAGAAGGUCUUCCUGCUAAGCCCGGCUCACACACGCUGCGCCCCCGGAGCUUCCCAUCCCCGACCAAGUGUCUCCGCUGCACCUCGCUGAUGCUGGGCCUGGGCCGCCAGGGCCUGGGUUGUGAUGGUGAGAGUCCCCACCCACUAUGCUCCAGCCACGGUCCCAGCCUGCGGCUACUUUUGUCACACAACCUGUGCCCCACAGGC
rnacentral:lncRNA from 1 species